AGCUCGUAGGCGGUUUGUCGCGUCUGUCGUGAAAGUCCGGGGCUUAACCCCGGAUCUGCGGUGGGUACGGGCAGACUAGAGUGCAGUAGGGGAGACUGGAAUUCCUGGUGUAGCGGUGGAAUGCGCAGAUAUCAGGAGGAACACCGAUGGCGAAGGCAGGUCUCUGGGCUGUAACUGACGCUGAGGAGCGAAAGCAUGGGGAGCGAACAGGAUUAGAUACCCUGGUAGUCCAUGCCGUAAACGUUGGGCACUAGGUGUGGGGACCAUUCCACGGUUUCCGCGCCGCAGCUAACGCAUUAAGUGCCCCGCCUGGGGAGUACGGCCGCAAGGCUAAAACUCAAG
rnacentral:rRNA from 1 species